GGCUGGAAAUAGUUGGCCUAUGUAGAAUAUCAUUUUUACUUUCAUUUAGAGCUGUUGUUCUCCGCUCUGUUAAAUGAGGGUUGUAAGUUCCUAGGUGGCUGGUAGCCAACUUAGUACAUAGUGGGAUUGAGAGGAGAACAUGGUGGUAAUACAUAUACAUCCAUUUCUUUUUAAUGUUGUGCCUUUUUCAUAGCCCCUUUGGGAAAAGUUUUCUUUUGUAUCAGAAUCUAGUUAGGUUGUGUCACGUCUCUGGGGAGACGUGAAGAGAGGGAUUUGUAGAGGACUGCUAAUUCCUAUGUAGGUGACAUUACACUACUAUAGCUGAGACACAUAGUAAAACAGGUUGGGCCCCAUACAGGAUAUCUCUCACACACACACACUCACUGUAAUCAUCCAGAACACUGUCACAACAGGAUACUCCUAGCCACAGGUGCUAGCCGGCAGUUCGGCCACAACUCCCCUGAAGAUAGGGACGCAUACGCUCUUACACACUGACCCCAGAAGACAGGGACGACGCACAUACAGUACACACAUAGCUGCCGAGGACACCCAGAUAAGACACCCACAGAUUGGCAGAAAGCCUAGACUUAGAGACAAACUAACACACACACAUAAUCUCCCUCCCAGCCGAACAUUGUGUGACUGAAGAUAGCGCACACACCAGAUCUCCUUUUCAGCUGAACGGGGUGUGACGACCAAGAACAGGCAUGGCAGGAUUCUACGAUGACGGACAGACAACAGAGCCAAUGCCGGAUGACUACACCCCAGCCUGAUCCAAUCCGAAGAUCCGAUCUCCUAGAUAUCAACCUACUUUCUGUUCUGUAUAUGAAGCUUGUACCCAUUGUUAGCUAGUGUCUUUUUUGCUAGUCUCUGAUGAGCUAACAGAGGGGCCCGUAUAUACGCUGUACCAGAUAUCUCCACUUUGAAAUAAACCUGUCGCUUGUCGUACAAUCUAC